ACAGAAGGGCAGUCAUUAAGGAAACCCUCUCAGAAGAAGUUGCAAUCCUUGUCUGAAUUAUUUCCCUUUCCACCAAGCCAAAAAAAAAAAAAAAAAAAAAGAAA
rnacentral:lncRNA from 1 species